rfam:Desulfotomaculum nigrificans CO-1-SRB chromosome, complete genome.
UCACUGGCAACGGUGGGGUCUAAAGGAAGCCGAAGGGGGAACUUGGAACAUAGCGAAAGCGAACCGUGGUUGGCCGAUCAGGUGGGUAACCUUGCAUAUUAUGGGAAAGCCCAAUAGCUGGACAACCUGAUAGGUUAGGACUGAUGGAUUAAAGUUCAGGCAAGCAGA